rnacentral:rRNA from 1 species
AGCAGCCGCGGUAAUUCCAGCUCCAAUAGCGUAUAUUAAAGUUGUUGCAGUUAAAAAGCUCGUAGUUGAAUUUCGGGGUUAGCAGGUCGGUCGUGCCAUCGGUAUGAACUGGUCUCGCUGAUCCCUCCCUCUUGACGAACUGUGAUGCCAUUAAUUUGGUGUCGCAGGGAAUCAGGACUGUUACUUUGAAAAAAUUAGAGUGUUUAAAGCAGGCUCACGCUUGAAUACAUUAGCAUGGAAUAAUGAAAUAGGACGUUUGAUCCUAUUUUGUUGGCUUCUAGGAUUGACGUAAUGAUUAAUAGGGAUAGUUGGGGGCAUUAGUAUUCAAUUGUCAGAGGUGAAAUUCUUGGAUUUAUUGAAGACUAACUACUGCGAAAGCAUUUGCCAAGGAUGUUUUCAUUAAUCAAGAACGAAAGUUAGGGGAUCGAAGACGAUCAGAUACCGUCGUAGUCUUAACCAUAAACUAUGCCGACUAGGGAUCGGAUGAUGUUAAUUUUUCAAUGACUCAUUCGGCGCCUUA